CCCAGACUCCUACGGGAGGCAGCAGUGGGGAAUAUUGCACAAUGGGGGAAACCUGAUGCAGCGACGCCGCGUGGAGGAAGAAGGUCUUCGGAUUGUAAACUCCUGUUGUUGGGGAAGAUAAUGACGGUACCCAACAAGGAAGUGACGGCUAACUACGUGCCAGCAGCCGCGGUAAAACGUAGGUCACAAGCGUUGUCCGGAAUUACUGGGUGUAAAGGGAGCGCAGGCGGGAAGACAAGUUGGAAGUGAAAUCUAUGGGCUCAACCCAUAAACUGCUUUCAAAACUGUUUUUCUUGAGUAGUGCAGAGGUAGGCGGAAUUCCCGGUGUAGCGGUGGAAUGCGUAGAUAUCGGGAGGAACACCAGUGGCGAAGGCGGCCUACUGGGCACCAACUGACGCUGAGGCUCGAAAGUGUGGGUAGCAAACAGGAUUAGAUACCCUGGUAGUCCACACCGUAAACGAUGAUUACUAGGUGUUGGAGGAUUGACCCCUUCAGUGCCGCAGUUAACACAAUAAGUAAUCCACCUGGGGAGUACGACCGCAAGGUUGAAACUCAAAGGAAUUGACGGGGGCCCGCACAAGCAGUGGAGUAUGUGGUUUAAUUCGACGCAACGCGAAGAACCUUACCAAGUCUUGACAUCCCUUGACAGGCAUAGAAAUAUGUUUUCUCUUCGGAGCAAGGAGACAGGUGGUGCAUGGUUGUCGUCAGCUCGUGUCGUGAGAUGUUGGGUUAAGUCCCGCAACGAGCGCAACCCUUAUGGUCAGUUACUACGCAAGAGGACUCUGGCCAGACUGCCGUUGACAAAACGGAGGAAGGUGGGGAUGACGUCAAAUCAUCAUGCCCUUUAUGACUUGGGCUACACACGUACUACAAUGGCGUUAAACAAAGAGAAGCAAGACCGCGAGGUGGAGCAAAACUCAGAAACAACGUCCCAGUUCGGACUGCAGGCUGCAACUCGCCUGCACGAAGUCGGAAUUGCUAGUAAUCGUGGAUCAG
rnacentral:rRNA from 1 species